rnacentral:lncRNA from 1 species
UCAGGUAAUUAGAGGCUUACUACAGGUCCAAGCAAUCUUUUCUACACUUGAGAGUCUUCUCCAAGUCCUUGCAAUGCUCCAGAUGAUGUUGAUUAGCAAAAGUUGCAAAUGAGCAAAUGAACUUCAAGGCUAAGUCCCUUUAUAUAGUGAAAUGCCAAGUUCCAAGACCAUUGCAGCUGUUGUUGGAGGCCCUAGGAUCACCCCAGGUGUCCUAGUGGUUUGUAAAAACCGUCCAAGAGUCCAAGGUUUCGAAUUUUACAAGUUAGAGUCGGUUUAACAGCUUAACAUACAUCUGUCCAUAACUUCUGCCCAGCGACGAGCUUACAGACCGUAAGCUAGCAGUCUUACGGACCAUAUCCGGAUCUUACGGACCGUAAGGUAUAAUGCAUGCGGUCCGUAACCGAACCUGAUUUACAACGCCCAGUUACCACUUUACGGACCGUAAGCCUAGGGCCAUACGGUCCGUAACCUAUGACCAGAAGACAAAAAUUUUCAAACUUUUAUACACUUUACCAUUCAAUUCACUUGACCGAAUCUUGAACCAUAAUUCAGUGUAAUAGGUCCAAAUGAUCAGUUCUGAGUGCUCUAAUAACCAUGCCAUGCAAUGUGCCCUCUUGGAGUUUUCAAGAGUUGGCAACAUAUGAAGAAAAUUGUCGAUUUGCAUGA